UUAGCAGUUAAAUGUUAUACGAGCCAAUGUUAAUAUCUGGAUCUGUUCGAAAGAAAUAAUGCUGUCUAAUAGACGUCUCAAAUGCUCAAACUCUAUACCCAUAACACUACAACGCCUCAUUAAGCUAACUAAAAUAAGAUUCAUCUAGACAACUAUCCAUCAUUCGCAAUUUCGUUAAGAUGGGUAUUCGCUUAUGUAACAAAUGGGACAAGCCCAAAUAAGUAGCUAAAGCUUAUCUGUCUUAAAUCAAAUACUUCGUGUUUCAAUCUAAACAACUCAAAAGUAGGAUUAAUAGGAUCCAUCUUUUCAAAAGUGUGUAGCAUCUUAUGAGCUAAAUUAUCCAUCGAGUCCACCAGGUAUUCCAAAUAAAGCCUUUACUGAAGCUCUAAG
rnacentral:rRNA from 1 species